rnacentral:rRNA from 1 species
UACGUAUGGUGCAAGCGUUAUCCGGAUUUACUGGGUGUAAAGGGAGCGUAGGCGGCGCGUUAAGUCUGAUGUGAAAACCCGAGGCCCAACCACGGGAGUGCAUUGGAAACUGGCGGGCUGGAGUGCCGGAGAGGUAAGCGGAAUUCCUAGUGUAGCGGUGAAAUGCGUAGAUAUUAGGAGGAACACCAGUGGCGAAGGCGGCUUACUGGACGGCAACUGACGCUGAGGCUCGAAAGCGUGGGGAGCAAACAGG